CCGAGUUGGUAAGUGAAAUAAUUCGGGCUUUAUGCUGACAGAUGAGGAGGACAGGAGGCGGAUCUACACAGGUGUUGACAAACUCCGUAAAUGGCCUCCAUUUAUGGUUGGCCACGUGUCUGGCUGACUCUCGCCUGUGCCAAUGCCUUCCAAUCCUGGAGCGUUAAUGGCACUCUCAUCAUCGUUCUCGACAGCCAUUGCCUUAUCGCUGCUGCAAGUUAUUUCUGCUCCUCCGUCUGUGGUGAACGUUAAUUGCUCUUUGAUUCUGAGGACAUUUGGUUUUUUUCUUGGGUUUACGUUGUCCCAUCAAUUUGUGUAUUUUUUUUUACAGUUAUCGGAUGGAUGUGGAAAUGACGACCAUGUCCAACAAGAUGGAAAAACGAAUGGAUGGAUGGAUGGUUUUCAUGGAGGAUUGUGAUGACAAUACAAGGAGUCAUAACUCUCAAAUGUCUCAUCCUCCACAUGGGUUAAUCAGUGAAGGAUCUGAUCAGUCUCCGAUAAGGCAUGAUUACUGUAGGCUACAAGUGUUUUAAUGCCUGUUAAGACCAUUCAUUUGACAAUUAAGCUAGCCUUUGAGACCAUCCUGAACUUCUGAGUUUUCAUGUCUGAAUCAAUUUCAGAUUUGGCAUCCCUAAUGUCUUUUAGUUUUUUUCUCUUUACAGGUGUCGGUAGAAGAGGUCAACCUACCCUUCAGACAACUGUGGAGAUAUUGAUACACAAGCGGUCAGAAGUCUUAUGUAUUGUAAUUGAGGGAUGAAAAUUGUGAGCAGUAACCAUCAGUUCAUACUUCAUACUUUUGCCAUGCUCCUGCUGCUCUUCUAUAUUGUCAAUAUGCAGUAUCUUGACCACUCAGAGGAAGACCCGUUGUGAGAGAUUGCGGGUAGAAGCGGCCGAAAUGGGUUAUCAGGAGGGUGUCUCCCUUAGAGAUAGGGUGAGAGGCUCAGCCAUCCAUGAGGAACUCUGAGAACAGCCACUGCUCCUUUGCAUAGAAAGGAGUCAGUUGAGGAGGUUUGGGCAUCUAGUAAGGAUGCCUAGGGCAGCGGUUGACGAUGGUGAUAAAUGUGUUUUUUGUAAUAAUAUUAACAUGCUGAUGUACUGUAAAUGUUUGAAAUAAACCAGGG
ensembl:lncRNA